rnacentral:rRNA from 1 species
AGUGAACGCUGGCGGUAGGCCUAACACAUGCAAGUCGAACGGCAGCACAGGAGAGCUUGCUCUCUGGGUGGCGAGUGGCGGACGGGUGAGGAAUACAUCGGAAUCUACUUUUUCGUGGGGGAUAACAUAGGGAAACUUACGCUAAUACCGCAUACGACCUACGGGUGAAAGCAGGGGACCUUCGGGCCUUGCGCGAUUGAAUGAGCCGAUGUCGGAUUAGCUAGUUGGCGGGGUAAAGGCCCACCAAGGCGACGAUACGUAGCUGGUCUGAGAGGAAGAUCAGCCACACUGGGACUGAGACACGGUCCAGACUCCUACGGGAGGCAGCAGUGGGGAAUAUUGGACAAUGGGCGCAAGCCUGAUCCAGCCAUACCGCGUGGGUGAAGAAGGCCUUCGGGUUGUAAAGCCCUUUUGUUGGGAAAGAAAUCCAGCCGGCUAAUACCUGGUUGGGAUGACGGUACCCAAAGAAUAAGCACCGGCUAACUUCGUGCCAGCCGCCGCCGUAACAC